GUUAGCUCAGUUGGUAGAGCAUCUCCCUUACAAGGAGGAGGUCGUUGGUUCGAGCCCACGUGAUG
rnacentral:tRNA from 1 species